AUAACCACGACGUCAGUAAACCGAGGACACGUCGCUUCGCCGCCGUUGCCGCAGUUACCGCCACGACAACAAUUCUCUCGUCCUCCUCGUCUUUGCCAACAUUGCUCGCCUUUCAAACGUGCCCACCUUCAGUGCGACACAUCCAGCGACAAC
rnacentral:ribozyme from 1 species